AAAUCCUACAGUUUAGAAAGCCUCCUGAGGAACUCUGGCGUAUCGUCUGUUUUCUCAGACUCAGCCGACUUUUCAGGAAUAUCGCAGAAGACACUGAAACUCAUCAAGGCUCCCCAUGAGGUUAUGCUGGAGGUGGAAGAGACCAAGUCAGAAGAUGGGGGGAGACCUGACAUCAUGCUGGACUUCUUUGUCCCCCCGAGAAUUACUUUUAACAGACCAUUCAUGCUCAUAAUCUAUGACGACCUCACAGGGCUCGUCCUGCUCAUAGGGAGAAUUAUCGAUCCUACAGAUGUCUAGACUGGAGUCAACAUCACAGUCUCCUUUUGUGCUUUUUUUCU